rnacentral:ncRNA from 1 species
CUGCAGUUAGACGAAAAGACCCCAGAAGCUUUACUAUAGCUUGAUAUUGAGUAUACGUUUUUCCUGCGUAGCAUAGGUGGGAGGAUUUGAAGUGAUGAUCUCGGUUGUCAUGGAUCCGACAGUGAAAUACCACUCUUGAACGAUGUAUAUUCUAACCACCGGGGCAAAAACCCGGCGAGACAGUAUCUGGUAGGUAGUUUUAUUGGGGCGAUAUCCUCCUAAACAGUAACGGAGGAGUCUAUUAAGGUUGGCUAGGCGCGAAUGGAAACCGUGCCGAUAGUGUAAUGGCACAAGCCAGCUUGACUGUAAGGCGUGCAUGCCGAGCAGGUGCGAAAGCAGAGCAUAGUGAACCGACGGUUCGUUUUAGACGCGGCCGGAGAUUAACGGAUAAAAGCUACUCUGGGGAUAACAGGCUAGUUGUGCCCAAGCGUCCAUAGCGACGGCACAGUUCGGCACCUCGAUGUCGGCUCAUCUUAUCCUGGGGCUGGAGAAGGUCCCAAGGGUAUGGCUGUUCGCCAUUUAAAAAGAUACGCGAGCUGGGUUCAAACCGUCAAAACCAACUCAUAUCGGUGAAAUCCUAUUGAAUGACAAACUGUCACAUGAUAGGAUAAUACCGAGGGAAGUUGUAUAUGCCAAAAUCUAUUUCGUCAAUUCAAAAAUCUUAUUUAGCUGGUUUUCUAGAUGCUGAUGGAAGCAUUUAUGUGCAAGCAAAAAUAAACAAAACUUAUCGUUUUGGUUAUCAAGUUGCUCCAUAUAUUGUUUUUUAUCAAUCAGCUCAAGAUGCUCAAAAUUUUUCUCAAAUUAGUAAUCUAAUUGGUUGCGGUUAUCAGAGAAAAAGAAAAGAUGGCAUCAUUGAACACAUUAUAGGAAAACAAGAUGAAAUAAUUUAUUUUCUAAAAUUAGUUAAACCUUUUCUCUUAAUGAAAAAGGCACAAGCUAGCUUAAUGGAAAAAAUAAUUAUUUUAAAACAGCAAGUCAAAGAUAAAAAAGAUUUUCAGGAAUUGAUAGAUUUGAUUGAUCGUUUUAGAGAGUUGAAUUACUCAAAGAAACGAAAAAAGCGUGUAUUAACCCCGUAGAGACUAAACGUUGGUUAUCCUUUCAAAAUAGGGAUAAAGGUAUAGUCCAAUGCACUUGGCAACAAGUGGAUAAGCUUAGAUUUUUAGGAGAAUUUAAGCUAGAACAUGCGUGAGACAGGUUGGUCUCCUAUCUACUGCAGGCGUUGACAAUUGAAGAGAUUUGUUUCUAGUACGAGAGGACCGAAAUGAACUGACCUCUGGUCUGGGAGCUGUCGUGCCAACGGCACCGCUCCGCAGCUAAGUCGGGAAUGGAUAACCUCUGAAAGCAUCUAAGAGGGAAGCCAACUCUAAGAUUAAUUGUCGUUAUGAGACUCCUGGGAGAUUACCAGGUUGAUAGGCGCUAGGUGUAAGCAUCGUAAGAUGUUCAGCCGUGGCGUACUAAUUCGUCCAUUCCUAUUAGGAA